GCUACGGUGCUGACAAGAUGGCGGCUGGCGGAGCUGUCGCUGCGGCGCCGGAGUGCCGGCUUCUCCCCUACGCGCUACACAAGUGGAGCUCUUUUUCCUCCACCUACCUUCCCGAGAACAUUUUAGUGGACAAACCAAACGACCAAUCUUCAAGAUGGUCUUCAGAGAGCAACUAUCCUCCCCAGUACUUGAUUCUAAAGCUCGAAAGGCCUGCUAUAGUUCAGAAUAUCACAUUUGGAAAAUAUGAGAAAACUCAUGUUUGCAAUUUGAAGAAAUUUAAAGUCUUUGGUGGAAUGAAUGAAGAAAAUAUGACAGAGCUGUUGUCCAGUGGCUUAAAGAAUGAUUAUAACAAAGAAACAUUCACCUUGAAGCAUAAAAUUGAUGAACAGAUGUUCCCUUGUCGAUUCAUUAAAAUAGUUCCACUCUUGUCCUGGGGACCCAGCUUUAACUUUAGCAUCUGGUAUGUUGAACUUAGUGGCAUUGAUGAUCCUGAUAUAGUACAACCUUGUCUCAACUGGUAUAGCAAGUACCGUGAACAGGAAGCUAUUCGCCUUUGCCUAAAACACUUCAGACAACACAACUAUACAGAAGCUUUUGAGUCACUGCAAAAGAAAACCAAGAUUGCACUGGAACAUCCCAUGUUAACAGAUAUUCAUGACAAGCUGGUGUUGAAGGGUGAUUUUGAUGCUUGUGAAGAGUUGAUUGAAAAGGCUGUAAAUGAUGGCUUGUUCAAUCAGUAUAUCAGUCAACAAGAAUAUAAGCCACGAUGGAGUCAAAUCAUUCCCAAAAGUACCAAAGGUGAUGGGGAAGAUAACCGUCCGGGAAUGAGAGGAGGCCAUCAGAUGGUUAUUGAUGUUCAAACAGAGACUGUUUAUUUGUUUGGUGGCUGGGAUGGAACACAAGAUCUUGCUGACUUCUGGGCGUACAGUGUGAAGGAGAACCAGUGGACAUGUAUCUCUAGAGACACUGAAAAAGAGAAUGGUCCUAGUGCCAGAUCGUGUCAUAAAAUGUGCAUUGACAUUCAACGGAGGCAAAUCUACACCUUGGGGCGUUACUUGGAUUCCUCUGUGAGGAACAGCAAAUCUCUGAAAAGUGACUUCUAUCGUUAUGACAUUGAUACAAACACAUGGAUGUUACUAAGUGAGGAUACUGCUGCUGAUGGAGGGCCGAAAUUGGUGUUUGAUCAUCAGAUGUGUAUGGACUCAGAAAAACAUAUGAUCUACACUUUUGGUGGUAGAAUUUUGACUUGUAAUGGCAGCGUAGAUGACAGCAGAGCCAGUGAACCACAAUUCAGUGGCUUGUUUGCUUUCAACUGUCAAUGUCAAACCUGGAAACUUCUUCGAGAGGACUCCUGUAAUGCUGGGCCUGAGGACAUCCAGUCUCGAAUAGGACACUGCAUGCUAUUCCACUCAAAAAAUCGUUGCUUAUAUGUAUUUGGUGGCCAGCGAUCAAAGACCUAUUUGAAUGAUUUCUUUAGUUAUGAUGUGGACUCUGAUCAUGUAGACAUAAUAUCAGAUGGCACCAAGAAAGACUCUGGGAUGGUUCCAAUGACAGGAUUUACACAGAGAGCAACUAUUGAUCCAGAACUGAAUGAAAUACAUGUCUUAUCUGGACUCAGCAAAGAUAAGGAAAAGAGGGAAGAGAAUGUUAGAAAUUCAUUCUGGAUUUAUGACAUUGUGAGGAAUAGUUGGUCUUGUGUCUAUAAGAAUGAUCAAGCUGCAAAGGAUAAUCCAACUAAAAGUCUUCAGGAAGAAGAACCAUGUCCAAGGUUUGCCCAUCAGCUUGUAUACGAUGAGCUACACAAGGUUCAUUACUUAUUUGGUGGGAAUCCAGGAAAAUCUUGUUCUCCAAAGAUGAGAUUAGAUGACUUCUGGUCACUGAAGUUGUGUAGACCUUCAAAAGAUUAUUUACUGAGGCAUUGCAAGUACCUCAUAAGAAAACACAGGUUUGAAGAAAAGGCCCAAAUGGAUCCCCUUAGUGCUCUGAAAUAUUUACAAAACGAUCUUUAUAUAACUGUGGAUCAUUCAGACCCAGAAGAGACAAAAGAGUUUCAGCUCCUGGCAUCAGCUCUAUUCAAAUCUGGUUCAGAUUUUACAGCUCUAGGUAAGUAUUGCAGUAUAAUUUAUCCAGCUAGUUGCCCUAGCAUUUGGAAGGUUGGAAUUUGGUUUCUUUUACGUGAAACAUCAGGUGAGAUGUUUCAGUCAAAUAGAUGAGCAAAUGAAGUUUCAAGGUAUCAUGCAAAAUUUCUAAUAACCUGCUACAAAGUUACUUUGAGGUAUCAUUUAUCAGUUCAGUUUGCAAUGACUAUUAUACCAAUUGCUGUGUCAGUAUGCAAACAGAUAGCAAUAGAAGCACAGUCAAAAUAAAUUAAUUUGUAUAGCACUGC
rnacentral:sRNA from 1 species